UAAAGAAAGCGUAAUAGCUCACUGGUCGAGUCGGCCUGCGCGGAAGAUGUAACGGGGCUAAACCAUGCACCGAAGCUGCGGCAGCGACACUGUGUGUUGUUGGGUAGGGGAGCGUUCUGUAAGCCUGCGAAGGUGGCCUGUGAGGGUUGCUGGAGGUAUCAGAAGUGCGAAUGCUGACAUAAGUAACGAUAAAGCGGGUGAAAAGCCCGCUCGCCGGAAGACCAAGGGUUCCUGUCCAACGUUAAUCGGGGCAGG
rnacentral:rRNA from 3 species